GCCAGUGUGGCUAGUGGUUUGAGCUGGACCACAACUCUGGAGAGCCUGGGUUCGAUUCCCAGCUCAGCCA